rnacentral:rRNA from 1 species
UACGGGGGGGGCAAGCGUUGUUCGGAAUUACUGGGCGUAAAGGGCUCGUAGGUGGCCAACUAAGUCAGACGUGAAAUCCCUCGGCUUAACCGGGGAACUGCGUCUGAUACUGGAUGGCUUGAGUUCGGGAGAGGGAUGUGGAAUUCCAGGUGUAGCGGUGAAAUGCGUAGAUAUCUGGAGGAAUACCGGUGGCGAAGGCGGCAUCCUGGACCAUUACUGACGCUGAGGCGCGAAAGCUAGGGGAGCAAACGGG